CCUACGGGCGGCAGCAGUAGGGAAUAUUGCUCAAUGGGGGAAACCCUGAAGCAGCAACGCCGCGUGGAGGAUGAAGGUUUUCGGAUUGUAAACUCCUUUUGUUAGAGAAGAGAAUGACGGUAUCUAACGAAUAAGCACCGGCUAACUCCGUUCCAGCAGCCGCGGUAAUACGGAGGGGGCAAGCGUUACUCGGAAUCACUGGGCGUAAAGGGCGCGUAGGCGGGAUGGCAAGUCUGAUGUGAAAUCCUAUGGCUUAACCAUAGAACUGCAUUUGAAACUGUUAUUCUAGAGUAUGGGAGAGGUAGGUGGAAUUCUUGGUGUAGGGGUGAAAUCCGUAGAGAUCAAGAGGAAUACUCAUUGCGAAGGCGACCUGCUAGAACAUAACUGACGCUGAUGCGCGAAAGCGUGGGGAGCAAACAGGAUUAGAUACCCGAGUAGUC
rnacentral:rRNA from 1 species